rnacentral:rRNA from 1 species
AGAGUUUGAUCAUGGCUCAGGACGAACGCUGGCGGCGUGCUUAAAACAUGCAAGUCGAACGAGACCUUUGGUCUAGUGGCGAACGGCGGAGUAAUACAUAAGCAACCUGCCUCAAAGACCGGGAUAGCCCCUCGAAAGAGGGAUUAAUACCGGAUGUGGCCUUUUGUGGGCAUCCACGAAAGAUUAAAACGAGUAAUCGGCUUUGAGAGGGGCUUGUGGCUUAUCAGCUUGUUGGUGGGGUAAUGGCCUACCAAGGCUUCGACGAGUAGCGGGUCUGAGAGGAUGAUCCGCCCGACUGGGACUGAGACACGGCCCAGACUCCUACGGGAGGCAGCAGUUGGGAAUCUUGCACAAUGGGCGAAAGCCUGAUGCAGCGACGCCGCGUGGAGGACGAAGUCUUUCGGGAUGUAAACUCCUUUUGCCAGGAACGAUAAUGACGGUACCUGGUGAAUAAGCCCCGGCUAACUACGUGCCAGCAGCCGCGGUAAGACGUAGGGGGCGAGCGUUGUCCGGAUUUACUGGGCGUAAAGAGCGCGUAGGCGGCCUAUUAAGUCAGGUGUGAAAUCUCCAGGGCUCAACCCGGAAACUGCACUUGAUACUGGUAGGCUGGAGUGUCGGAGAGGUGAUUGGAAUUCCUGGUGUAGCGGUGACAUGCAUUGAUAUCAGGAGGAACACCCAUGGCGAAGGCAGAUCACUGGCCGACAACUGACGCUGAGGCGCGAAAGCGUGGGUAGCAAACAGAAUUAGAUACUCUGGUAGUCCACGCCCUAAACGAUGGAUACUAGACGUCAGGGGUAUCGACCCCCCUGGUGUCGCAGCUAACGCAUUAAGUAUCCCGCCUGGGGACUACGGCCGCAAGGUUGAAACUUAAAUGAAUUGACGG